UUGGUUUAAAUCAUUGUGAGUCUACACUUUGAAAAUACAAUCCACACAAAAUGAUGGACAUAUAUCGAUUUCAUCCAA
rnacentral:pre_miRNA from 1 species